rnacentral:rRNA from 1 species
UCUAACAUGUGCGCGAGUCAUUGGGCUCUGCGAAACCUAAAGGCGAAAUGAAAGUAAAGGCUAGCUUGCUAGCUUAGGGGUGAUGACCGUUCCUUUACCGGGCGGUCCGCAACCCCGGGGCGUCUCAUUCUCUUUGAGAAGUGGCGCACCCAGAGCGUACACGUUGGGACCCGAAAGAUGGUGAACUAUGCUUGGCCAGGACGAAGUCAGGGGAAACCCUGAUGGAGGUCCGUAGCGAUUCUGACGUGCAAAUCGAUCGUCGGAGCUGAGUAUAGGGGCGAAAGACUAAUCGAACCAUC